rnacentral:rRNA from 1 species
GGGUUGUGAGGUUAAGCGACUAAGCGUACACGGUGGAUGCCCUGGCAGUCAGAGGCGAUGAAGGACGUGCUAAUCUGCGAUAAGCGUCGGUGAGGUGAUAUGAACCGUUAUAACCGGCGAUUUCCGAAUGGGGAAACCCAGUGUGUUUCGACACACUAUCAUUAACUGAAUCCAUAGGUUAAUGAGGCGAACCGGGGGAACUGAAACAUCUAAGUACCCCGAGGAAAAGAAAUCAACCGAGAUUCCCCCAGUAGCGGCGAGCGAACGGGGAGGAGCCCAGAGCCUGAAUCAGUGUGUGUGUUAGUGGAAGCGUCUGGAAAGGCGCGCGAUACAGGGUGACAGCCCCGUACACAAAAAUGCACAUAUUGUGAGCUCGAUGAGUAGGGCGGGACACGUGGUAUCCUGUCUGAAUAUGGGGGACCAUCCUCCAAGGCUAAAUACUCCUGACUGACCGAUAGUGAACCAGUACCGUGAGGGAAAGGCGAAAAGAACCCCGGCGAGGGGAGUGAAAAAGAACCUGAAACCGUGUACGUACAAGCAGUGGGAGCCUCUUAAUGGGGUGACUGCGUACCUUUUGUAUAAUGGGUCAGCGACUUAUAUUCUGUAGCAAGGUUAACCGAAUAGGGGAGCCGAAGGGAAACCGAGUCUUAACUGGGCGUUAAGUUGCAGGGUAUAGACCCGAAACCCGGUGAUCUAGCCAUGGGCAGGUUGAAGGUUGGGUAACACUAACUGGAGGACCGAACCGACUAAUGUUGAAAAAUUAGCGGAUGACUUGUGGCUGGGGGUGAAAGGCCAAUCAAACCGGGAGAUAGCUGGUUCUCCCCGAAAGCUAUUUAGGUAGCGCCUCGUGAAUUCAUCUCCGGGGGUAGAGCACUGUUUCGGCAAGGGGGUCAUCCCGACUUACCAACCCGAUGCAAACUGCGAAUACCGGAGAAUGUUAUCACGGGAGACACACGGCGGGUGCUAACGUCCGUCGUGAAGAGGGAAACAACCCAGACCGCCAGCUAAGGUCCCAAAGUCAUGGUUAAGUGGGAAACGAUGUGGGAAGGCCCAGACAGCCAGGAUGUUGGCUUAGAAGCAGCCAUCAUUUAAAGAAAGCGUAAUAGCUCACUGGUCGAGUCGGCCUGCGCGGAAGAUGUAACGGGGCUAAACCAUGCACCGAAGCUGCGGCAGCGACACUAUGUGUUGUUGGGUAGGGGAGCGUUCUGUAAGCCUGUGAAGGUGUACUGUGAGGUAUGCUGGAGGUAUCAGAAGUGCGAAUGCUGACAUAAGUAACGAUAAAGCGGGUGAAAAGCCCGCUCGCCGGAAGACCAAGGGUUCCUGUCCAACGUUAAUCGGGGCAGGGUGAGUCGACCCCUAAGGCGAGGCCGAAAGGCGUAGUCGAUGGGAAACAGGUUAAUAUUCCUGUACUUGGUGUUACUGCGAAGGGGGGACGGAGAAGGCUAUGUUGGCCGGGCGACGGUUGUCCCGGUUUAAGCGUGUAGGCUGGUUUUCCAGGCAAAUCCGGAAAAUCAAGGCUGAGGCGUGAUGACGAGGCACUACGGUGCUGAAGCGACAAAUGCCCUGCUUCCAGGAAAAGCCUCUAAGCAUCAGGUAACAUCAAAUCGUACCCCAAACCGACACAGGUGGUCAGGUAGAGAAUACCAAGGCGCUUGAGAGAACUCGGGUGAAGGAACUAGGCAAAAUGGUGCCGUAACUUCGGGAGAAGGCACGCUGAUAUGUAGGUGAAGCGACUUGCUCGUGGAGCUGAAAUCAGUCGAAGAUACCAGCUGGCUGCAACUGUUUAUUAAAAACACAGCACUGUGCAAACACGAAAGUGGACGUAUACGGUGUGACGCCUGCCCGGUGCCGGAAGGUUAAUUGAUGGGGUUAGCGGUAACGCGAAGCUCUUGAUCGAAGCCCCGGUAAACGGCGGCCGUAACUAUAACGGUCCUAAGGUAGCGAAAUUCCUUGUCGGGUAAGUUCCGACCUGCACGAAUGGCGUAAUGAUGGCCAGGCUGUCUCCACCCGAGACUCAGUGAAAUUGAACUCGCUGUGAAGAUGCAGUGUACCCGCGGCAAGACGGAAAGACCCCGUGAACCUUUACUAUAGCUUGACACUGAACAUUAAGCCUUGAUGUGUAGGAUAGGUGGGAGGCUUUGAAGUGUGGACGCCAGUCUGCAUGGAGCCGACCUUGAAAUACCACCCUUUAAUGUUUGAUGUUCUAACGUGGGCCCCUUACCGGGGUUGCGGACAGUGUCUGGUGGGUAGUUUGACUGGGGCGGUCUCCUCCUAAAGAGUAACGGAGGAGCACGAAGGUUGGCUAAUCCUGGUCGGACAUCAGGAGGUUAGUGCAAUGGCAUAAGCCAGCUUGACUGCGAGCGUGACGGCGCGAGCAGGUGCGAAAGCAGGUCAUAGUGAUCCGGUGGUUCUGAAUGGAAGGGCCAUCGCUCAACGGAUAAAAGGUACUCCGGGGAUAACAGGCUGAUACCGCCCAAGAGUUCAUAUCGACGGCGGUGUUUGGCACCUCGAUGUCGGCUCAUCACAUCCUGGGGCUGAAGUAGGUCCCAAGGGUAUGGCUGUUCGCCAUUUAAAGUGGUACGCGAGCUGGGUUUAGAACGUCGUGAGACAGUUCGGUCCCUAUCUGCCGUGGGCGCUGGAGAACUGAGGGGGGCUGCUCCUAGUACGAGAGGACCGGAGUGGACGCAUCACUGGUGUUCGGGUUGUCAUGCCAAUGGCACUGCCCGGUAGCUAAAUGCGGAAGAGAUAAGUGCUGAAAGCAUCUAAGCACGAAACUUGCCCCGAGAUGAGUUCUCCCUGACUCCUUGAGAGUCCUGAAGGAACGUUGAAGACGACGACGUUGAUAGGCCGGGUGUGUAAGCGCAGCGAUGCGUUGAGCUAACCGGUACUAAUGAACCGUGAGGCUUAACCUUACAACGCCGAAG